CCUACGGGAGGCAGCAGUGAGGAAUAUUGGUCAAUGGGCGCGAGCCUGAACCAGCCAAGUCGCGUGAGGGAUGACGGCCCUACGGGUUGUAAACCUCUUUUGCCGGGGAGCAACGGGCGCCACGUGUGGCGCCCCUGAGAGUACCCGGAGAAAAAGCAUCGGCUAACUCCGUGCCAGCAGCCGCGGUAAUACGGAGGAUGCGAGCGUUAUCCGGAUUUAUUGGGUUUAAAGGGUGCGUAGGCGGAUCGUUAGGUCAGUGGUCAAAUUGAGGGGCUCAACCCCUUCCCGCCAUUGAAACUGGCGCUCUUGAGUGGAAGAGAGGUAGGCGGAAUGCGUGGUGUAGCGGUGAAAUGCAUAGAGAUCACGCAGAACCCCGAUUGCGAAGGCAGCAUGCCGGCUUCCGACUGACGCUGAAGCACGAAAGCGUGGGGAUCGAACAGGAUUAGAUACCCUUGUAGUC
rnacentral:rRNA from 1 species